AGAGUUUGAUCCUGGCUCAGGACGAACGCUGGCGGCGUGCCUAACACAUGCAAGUCGAGCGGAGACAGUGAGUAGCUUGCUAUGAGCUGUUUUAGCGGCGGACGGGUGAGUAACGCGUGAGCAACCUUUCCCAGACAGGGGAAUAACACACCGAAAGGUGUACUAAUACCGCGUAAGACCACGGGAUCACAUGGUUCUGGGGUAAAAGAUUUAUCGGUUUGGGGUGGGCUCGCGUCCGAUUAGGUAGUUGGUGAGGUAACGGCCCACCAAGCCGACGAUCGGUAGCCGACCUGAGAGGGUGAUCGGCCACAUUGGGACUGAGACACGGCCCAAACUCCUACGGGAGGCAGCAGUGGGAAUAUUGGGCAAUGGAGGAAACUCUGACCCAGCAACGCCGCGUGGAGGAAGAAGGUUUUCGGAUCGUAAACUCCUGUCCUUGGAGACGAGUAGAAGACGGUAUCCAAGGAGGAAGCCCCGGCUAACUACGUGCCAGCAGCCGCGGUAAUACGUAGGGGGCAAGCGUUGUCCGGAAUAAUUGGGCGUAAAGGGCGCGUAGGCGGCUCGGUAAGUCUGGAGUGAAAGUCCUGCUUUUAAGGUGGGAAUUGCUUUGGAUACUGUCGGGCUUGAGUGCAGGAGAGGUUAGUGGAAUUCCCAGUGUAGCGGUGAAAUGCGUAGAGAUUGGGAGGAACACCAGUGGCGAAGGCGACUAACUGGACUGUAACUGACGCUGAGGCGCGAAAGUGUGGGGAGCAAACAGGAUUAGAUACCCUGGUAGUCCACACUGUAAACGAUGAAUGCUAGGUGUAGGGGGUAUCGACCCCUUCUGUGCCGCAGUCAACACAAUAAGCAUUCCGCCUGGGGAGUACGGCCGCAAGGUUGAAACUCAAAGGAAUUGACGGGGGCCCGCACAAGCAGCGUAGCAUGUGGUUUAAUUCGACGCAACGCGAAGAACCUUACCAGGUCUUGACAUCCACUUAAACUUACAGAGAUGUAAGGUGUGCUUGCACAAAGUGAGACAGGUGGUGCAUGGUUGUCGUCAGCUCGUGUCGUGAGAUGUUGGGUUAAGUCCCGCAACGAGCGCAACCCUUAUCUUCAGUUACUAACGCGUGAGGGUGAGGACUCUGAAGAGACUGCCGGGGACAACUCGGAGGAAGGUGGGGACGACGUCAAAUCAUCAUGCCCCUUAUGACCCGGGCUACACACGUGCUACAAUGGCCACGACAGAGAGAAGCGAAAUCGCAAGGUAGAGCGGAACUCAAAAAAGUGGUCCCAGUUCGGAUUGUGGGCUGCAACCCGCCCACAUGAAGUCGGAGUUGCUAGUAAUCGCGGAUCAGCAUGCCGCGGUGAAUACGUUCCCGGGCCUUGUACACACCGCCCGUCACACCAUGGGAGUUGGGAGUGCCCAAAGCCGGUGAGGCAACGGCAAGGAGCCAGCCGUCUAAGGCAAGACCAAUGACUGGGGUGAAGUCGAACAAGGUA
rnacentral:rRNA from 1 species